AUUGAACGCUGGCGGCAGGCUUAACACAUGCAAGUCGAACGGCAGCGCGGGCUUCGGCCUGGCGGCCAGUGGCGAACGGGUGAGUAAUGCAUCGGAACGUGCCCAGUAGUGGGGGAUAGCGCGGCGAAAGCGGGAUUAAUACCGCAUACGACCUGAGGGUGAAAGCGGGGGACCGAAAGACCUCGCGCUAUUGGAGCAGCCGAUGUCGGAUUAGCUAGUUGGUGGGGUAAAGGCCUACCAAGGCGACGAUCCGUAGCUGGUCUGAGAGGACGACCAGCCACACUGGGACUGAGACACGGCCCAGACUCCUACGGGAGGCAGCAGUGGGGAAUUUUGGACAAUGGGCGCAAGCCUGAUCCAGCCAUGCCGCGUGCGGGAAGAAGGCCUUCGGGUUGUAAAGCGCUUUUGUUUGGGAAGAAAUGCUGUGGGCUAAUACCCCGGGGGUAUGACGGUACCGGAAGAAUAAGCACCGGCUAACUUCGUG
rnacentral:rRNA from 1 species